rnacentral:rRNA from 1 species
CCUACGGGUGGCAGCAGUGAGGAAUAUUGGUCAAUGGACGGAAGGCUGAACCAGCCAAGCCGCGUGAGGGAGGAAUGCCCAGAGCGUUGCAGACCUCUUUUGCCGGGGGACAAAAUGCCGGACGCGUCCGGUUCUGAAGGUACCCGGAGAAAAAGCAUCGGCUAACUCCGUGCCAGCAGCCGCGGUAAUACGGAGGAUCCGAGCGUUAUCCGGAUUUAUUGGGUUUAAAGGGUGCGAAGGCGGGCGUUUAAGCCGUUGGUGAAAUCUCGGGGCUAAACCCCGCCGAGCAGUGGGAACUGGGAGACUUGAGUGCGGCGGAGGCAUGCGGAAUGCGUGGUGUAGCGGUGAAAUGCAUAGAUAUCGCGAAGAACCCCGAUUGCGAAGGCAGCGUGCUGUGCUGCCACUGACGCUGAGGCACGAAAGCGUGGGGAUCGAACAGGAUUAGAUACCCGUGUAGUC